rnacentral:rRNA from 1 species
GUGUCAGCCGCCGCGGUAAUACGAACUGUGCGAACGUUAUUCGGAUUCACUGGGCUUAAAGGGUGCGUAGGCGGCCAAUUAAGUAGGGUGUGAAAGCCCCCGGCUCAACCGGGGAAUGGCGCCCUAAACUGGCUGGCUGGAGUGAGACAGGGGUGUGCGGAACUUCCGGUGGAGCGGUGAAAUGUGUUGAUAUCGGAAGGAACGCCGGUGGCGAAAGAGGCACACUGGGUCUCAACUGACGCUGAGGCACGAAAGCCAGGGUAGCGAACGGGAUUAGAUACCCCGGUAGUCC